UGGGGAAUAUUGCACAAUGGGCGCAAGCCUGAUGCAGCCAUGCCGCGUGUAUGAAGAAGGCCUUCGGGUUGUAAAGUACUUUCAGCGGGGAGGAAGGUGUUGUGGUUAAUAACCACAGCAAUUGACGUUACCCGCAGAAGAAGCACCGGCUAACUCCGUGCCAGCAGCCGCGGUAAUACGGAGGGUGCAAGCGUUAAUCGGAAUUACUGGGCUUAAAGCGCACGCAGGCGGUCUGUCAAGUCGGAUGUGAAAUCCCCGGGCUCAACCUGGGAACUGCAUCCGAAACUGGCAGGCUUGAGUCUUGUAGAGGGGGGUAGAAUUCCAGGUGUAGCGGUGAAAUGCGUAGAGAUCUGGAGGAAUACCGGUGGCGAAGGCGGCCCCCUGGACAAAGACUGACGCUCAGGUGCGAAAGCGUGGGGAGCAAACA
rnacentral:rRNA from 1 species